GCACCCGUAGCUCAACUGGAUAGAGCGUUCGGCUACGGACCGAGAGGUUGUGGGUUCGAAUCCUACCGGGUGUG
rnacentral:tRNA from 1 species